rnacentral:lncRNA from 1 species
AGAGAGGGAAGGGAGGGGAGAAACAACAACCAUAUGUCUUUAUUUCCUGUUAGCUCCAUUUCUGGCCUUUGGUCUCUUUCUCGGAAAGCAGGCCUCAGUGGCCUCAGUUUCUUCCCAGAACCUGCAAUGCCCCACCAAGGUGACAAGAAGUGCAAGGAGUCGGUUUUCACUGCCAACCAAAGAGGUGACCCCCGCAAAGCAACCAUGUUGGGACAGUCCAUUUGCUGCGUUUUGAUUAUUUGCUAAGAGCAAAUACCUUUUCUGUUUGGGUUUUGCUUUUAGAAAAAAAAUGUGGCAGAUGGUGGUGGCUUUCCCCGUCAUUGAAAGAAGAAAGGUAGUAACUCUACUGGUGCACUCCUCUGAGUUGUGCUAACAAAGAAGAAUGCUGAAAGAAAAGGGAAAUGAACACCAUUUUCAGGCAGCUUCUCCAAGUUUUUUUGACAGUGUUAUAAUUUUCCUUUAGCGACUGUUGAAGCAAAUAUCUGUAUUUAUGUUCAGAUUAAACCGAGAGAGCAAAGACUGCUAAAGCCAGUAAUUUCUGGGCUGCAAAUGCAGGAUAGCUCCAGUGAAUUUCAGAUUCUUAAAGGUUUUUGCUGUAGCGAAUUCAUGACACAAAGCAUUUGGAGGGAAACCUAUUAGAGAAGAAACACAUCCUAAAUGAGAAUUACUGAGGACGGGAGGCUCUUGUCAUUUAUUGGAUUAGUUAUAGCACUUUACACAAGCCUGUAAUAUUUGUUCUGCUGCUGUGGUGUGACUGGUAAAAUGAAAAGGUAUGUCAAGGGAGUGCUUGACUGACGUUCUUAUUUCUUCCGUCUUCUUAUAUUGCUGGGAGGAUUCUACCACUGCAGGGCUAGAAAUUAAUAUCACACUCAUUUGAUAGGAAGAGCAAAAGCAAGGUUAUGAGUCAGAGACAUUUUGGUCCCAGAACAAUAACUCUAUUGAUUGAGUCAAAUAUGUUUAACUCCAACAGCAAGACCUUCCAUCUGCGUGAAAUAAUCAUGUCCGUUAAUUGUAAACAGGAGCAUCUUUGAAAGCUGAGCUAGAGGCGGAGCAACUGGUAAACCAGAUGUCCCAAAUUUCUAGGUUUGUACAUUGUAAUUGUUCUAGACUUGUGUGUGGAUAUUGGUAAAAUGACAUAGUCAGAUAUCUCACAGAUUUUGUGAGAUAUGUCCAAAGUUCCCAAGUUAAUUUAUUACUAAAGUUAGAAUUUCACUUACUGUGAGAUUGGAAUGCCAGCCAGCUACUGAACCUUAUGUGUGCCUAGGGGCCAUUUUGAGACAAUUUGCUGAAUAUUAAAAGUACAACCAAUAAUGUUUCUCUCCACAUCCACAAUAGCGCUUAGAGGAAGCAUCUGGGAUUGAGCCAUCUCACAUCUGUCUAAUCACAUUCAUUCAAAUGUGAUGGGCCCAACUGGCCUACGUACAUGGCUGCAUAUCACCAUGGGUGGAAAUUAAAUCAGAAUUUGGCUCAGGAGAGAGAUGAAGAGAAAAUGCACGUAGAUAAUUGGCUCAGAUAACAUUCUGUUUCUGGAAGUCACAAAGAGUGGAAAUUGGAAUAUGUAAAUUAAAGAAAAACAGUCAUUUUAGGCUAAUAUUUUCUUUUGCAACCAUAUACCAAAUUAUUACAUAUGGAAGCUGUGAAACUGAAGGUUCUGUAAAACUUUAAAGCCAGAGAACUUAUGACUCCUCCAUAUAGGAAGAGAAAUGGGAGAAUAUUAGGCUGUUUUUAAUACUGGGCAUCUGGUAUUUUUCAGUCCUUAAGAUCAAGUCCGCAAUGGAAGAAGAGCAUUCAUCUGGUACAGGUUGAUGAUUGUGUAAGCCCAAGGAGUGAUGUCAACACUGGGGUUCACCUGAGAACAUGGACAUGGUUGAUGAGGGUUUAGGAGAUGCUCAUACGAAGUCUUCAUAUGUUCCCUGGAUCCCAGCUCUGCCUUCCCACCAGAGAGGAUGUAAUUCAGCCGAGAUGCCCAGAGUCAGCUCUCUGCUCAUAUCUGUUCCGCACUGAAGCCAAUCAUCUGAGAAACCUAAGAAGUGUUUAAUGUAGUUAGGAAAGUGAGGGAUGAAGACCAUAAAUUCCUUUUCAUGUAGCAGAGUAUAUAUGUGAUACUCAUUCUGUGGUAUUUGGGGCAUAAACAAGAGUCGAUGAAGGAAUGUGAAAGUACUCGAAAUCCUGACUUUUAUCUCUAUAAAAAUGGCAUAGGGAUGAAACACACUUGGUUGUUAUGACUGUACUCUUUUCAGAUUUACUACUUGCCUUUCUACUGAUUUUUCUGUGCCACAGGUCUUGACUCCUGUAGGCUAAAUUUCUCAGCCUCUUCUGCUCACUGAUAUAUGGGAAGGUUUGGCCAAAGGUGGGUGACUGGUGGGGAGAAGGAUGAGGGAAUUCAGGGGAUUGCUGAGCCCAUUCUCUAGACAGUGCUGCUGGCACUGGCUCUGUCUUCUCCGUUUCCAUCUCGCAUCAGACGGUUCUUCCCUCUAUGGGCCUAGUCCUACCUAGACACUUUCCAGUUGGAUUCCAGUUCUGGGGAUGCUCCCUCCUGCAGGGAUCUAAGUCCUUCCCAUUGUCUUCGGCUCCUGGGCUCAGCUAGAACCAUCUUUUCCCAUUGUCCCUGUGGUGCUAGGGCUUUCAGUGGUUAUUAACGUCUGUGUUGUAUCAUCUUGCCUGAAUUUCAGCUCUCUGUAACCAGUUCCCCAAAUAAAAUUCCCCCCAUUUACCUACCUUCUGUGAGUCUGUUUGCCUGACAUGACCGUAUUAAGUAUACCCGAUAUAUUAGUGAGCUUCGGAUGAUAUCACAAUGUGCCGUAGACUGGGUGGCAUAAAAAACAAAGGAAUGUAUUUCUCAUUGUUCUGGAGCUGGGAAGUCCAAGAUAAAGGUGCUAGCCAAUUCUAUUUCUGAUGAGGGCUCUCUUCCUGGCUUGUGGAUGGCCACCUUGUCACUCUAU